CCUACGGGGGGCAGCAGUGAGGAAUAUUGGUCAAUGGACGUGAGUCUGAACCAGCCAAGUAGCGUGAAGGAUGACUGCCCUAGGGGUUGUAAACUUCUUUUAUAUGGGAAUAAAAUGUUCCACGUGUGGGCUUUUGUAUGUACCAUAUGAAUAAGGAUCGGCUAACUCCGUGCCAGCAGCCGCGGUAAGACGGAGGAUCCGAGCGUUAUCCGGAUUUAUUGGGUUUAAAGGGAGCGUAGGUGGAUUGUUAAGUCAGUUGUGAAAGUUUGCGGCUCAACCGUAAAAUUGCAUUUGAAACUGGCAGUCUUGAGUACAGUAGAGGUGGGCGGAAUUCGUGGUGUAGCGGUGAAAUGCUUAGAUAUCACGAAGAACGCCGAUUGCGAAGGCAGCUCACUGGACUGCAACUGACACUGAGGCUCGAAAGUGUGGGUAUCAAACAGGAUUAGAUACCCCUGUAGUC
rnacentral:rRNA from 1 species